GAUGAACGCUGGCGGCGUGCUUAACACAUGCAAGUCGAACGAGAAGUGAAGACGGAAACCUUCGGGCGGAAGGCUUUAUUUCGAGUGGCGGACGGGUGAGUAACGCGUGGGUAACCUGCCUCAUACAGGGGGAUAACAGUUGGAAACGACUGUUAAUACCGCAUAAGACCACAGCACCGCAUGGUGCGGGGUAAAAACUCCGGUGGUAUGAGAUGGACCCGCGUUCGAUUAGCCAGUUGGCGGGGUAACGGCCCACCAAAGCGACGAUCGAUAGCCGAUCUGAGAGGAUGACCGGCCACAUUGGGACUGAGACACGGCCCAAACUCCUACGGGAGGCAGCAGUGGGGAAUAUUGCACAAUGGGGGAAACCCUGAUGCAGCGACGCCGCGUGAGUGAAGAAGUAUUUCGGUAUGUAAAGCUCUAUCAGCAGGGAAGAAAAUGACGGUACCUGAGUAAGAAGCCCCGGCUAACUACGUG
rnacentral:rRNA from 1 species